GACGAACGCUGGCGGCGUGCCUAAUACAUGCAAGUAGAACGCUGAAGGAGGAGCUUGCUUCUCUGGAUGAGUUGCGAACGGGUGAGUAACGCGUAGGUAACCUGCCUGGUAGCGGGGGAUAACUAUUGGAAACGAUAGCUAAUACCGCAUAAUAGCAGUUAUUGCAUGAUAACUGUUUGAAAGGUGCAAUUGCACCACUACCAGAUGGACCUGCGUUGUAUUAGCUAGUUGGUGGGGUAACGGCUCACCAAGGCGACGAUACAUAGCCGACCUGAGAGGGGGAUCGGCCACACUGGGACUGAGACACGGCCCAGACUCCUACGGGAGGCAGCAGUAGGGAAUCUUCGGCAAUGGACGGAAGUCUGACCGAGCAACGCCGCGUGAGUGAAGAAGGUUUUCGGAUCGUAAAGCUCUGUUGUAAGAGAAGAACGAGUGUGAGAGUGGAAAGUUCACACUGUGACGGUAUCUUAACAGAAAGGGACGGCUAACUACGUG
rnacentral:rRNA from 1 species